UCUCCCUCUAUUUCCUGUCCCUCUACAGAAUACUAAUAUAACUACUGUGGAGAUUGGACCGCAGAAUCUUGUCCUACAGGACAAUCAUUCUCUUGAAGCCGGGCCUCUUCCCUUCGUUACCAUCCCCCCGGGCCACUACUGUCAAGUGGAACAUCCUAUUGAUAUCAAUAAACCAAUAGUUGAUGGGAAGUUAUACGAACUGAGAUUUGGACACAGAGAAAUAAGACUCCAUGGGGAUCCUUUCCCAUUGUUUCCUGGAGAGAGAUUACCUGAGAGUGGCAGUGCAACUGGUAUGUU